rnacentral:rRNA from 1 species
ACACACAAAACAAGCGGUGAGUGCUUUGGGGUGGGGUGACUGCGUACCUUUUGUAUAAUGGGUCAGCGACUUAUAUUCUGUAGCAAGGUUAACCGAAUAGGGGAGCCGGAGGGAAACCGAGUCUUAACCGGGCGUUAAGUUGCAGGGUAUAGACCCGAAACCCGGUGAUCUAGCCAUGGGCAGGUUGAAGGUUGGGUAACACUAACUGGAGGACCGAACCGACUAAUGUUGAAAAA